rnacentral:lncRNA from 1 species
GAACUGGGUGGCCAGGACAGCUGUUUCUGAGCUCUGAGAAGUUAAACAUGGCCAAGGAUUCAUGGUGUGCAGCUUUGGAAAUCUAGUCAGAGGCUCCCAUUGACAGCCUCUGGGAAGCUGUUUGGAUAAACUGCUCUGGGUCACGCAUUGGUUUCCCACAUCUGCUCCCCCAGUGACGUCCCAGUGCUAAUUUCUGGUGAAGGAGGGAAAAGACCGCCUGUGCCCAGAAUGUCACUCUUCAGAAGGUGAGAAAACGAAGAUGAAGAAAAGUUAAGCAACUUCUCCAAAGUCACACAGCCUGUGUGAAAGUCUGGAUUCCAACUCAGGCAAUCUGACUAUACUGCUCUACGCUGUCCUGUUAAAUAAAG